GGCAGAGGUAGUUUAACAAGAAUGCGGGAUUGUCGUUCUCGUGGGGCCCGUAGGGGCUCUCUGU
rnacentral:tRNA from 1 species